rnacentral:ribozyme from 1 species
AGCUCAUACUCCUGUACUUACACAGACAGUCGAGGCAAGGAAGAAAGGAAGGAAGGAAUGGAAAUGGAAAAGUAGGGGGAUUGAUUCCCUUGUUUGUUUCUUUACGCAUUGCCGAUCCAUAUUCCAUU